rnacentral:rRNA from 1 species
GGCAAUCAGGUUAGGAGCAGGCGCGCAAUUACCCAAUCCUGACUCAGGGAGGUAGUGACAAGACAUAUCAAUGGACUGCACACAGUGCGGUCCAAUUGAAAUGAGUACAGUUUAAAAACAUUAACGAUUAACAAUUGGAGGGCAAGUCUGGUGCCAGCAGCCGCGGUAAUUCCAGCUCCAAUAGCGUAUACUAAAUUUGUUGCAGUUAAAAAGCUCGUAGUUGGAUUUCUGAGCGGUGUGGUACUGUGGGUCUUUGACCUGUCUAAAUCACGCUGCUCAUCCUGGGAAGUCGCGGUUUGGGCAUUAAUUUGUUCAUACUGGCAAUUCCCUCGUUUACUUUGAGAAAAUUAGAGUGUUCAAAGCAGGCUUACGCUUGAAUACAUUAGCAUGGAAUAAUAUUAUAGGACUUUGGUCUUAUUUUGUUGGUUUCUAGGACCGAAGUAAUGAUUGAUAGGGACGGUUGGGGGCAUCAGUAUUUCAAAGCGAGAGGUGAAAUUCUUGGACCUUUGGAAGACUAACAACUGCGAAAGCAUUUGCCUAGGACGUUCUCUUUAAUCAAGAACGAAAGUUAAGGGAUCGAAGACGAUCAGAUACCGUCGUAGUCUUAACUAUAAACUAUGCCAGCUAGGGAUUGGGAGCUAUCUUCCUUGAUGCUUUCAGCACCUUAUGAGAAAUCAAAGCAUUUGGGUUCCGGGGGGAGUAUGGUCGCAAGGCUGAAACUUAAAGGAAUUGACGGGAGGGCACCACCAGGAGUGGAGCCUGUGGCUUAAUUUGACUCAACACGGGAAAACUUACCAGGUCCGGACGUAGUAAGGAUUGACAGACUGAAGGUCUUUCUUGAUUCUAUGGGUGGUGGUGCAUGGCCGUUCUUAGUUGGUGGAGUGAUUUGUCUGGUUAAUUCCGUUAACGAACGAGACCCCAGCCUGCUAAUUAGUGUGAGGAAUUUCUAAUUCCAUGACUCUUCUUAGAGGGACAAGUGUGUGUAUAACCACAGGAAGUUUGGGGCAAUAACAGGUCUGUGAUGCCCUUAGAUGUUCUGGGCCGCACACGGGCUACACUGCAGCUGACAACGAGCAUUUCCCUGUUCGAAAGUUCCGGGUAAUCUUUUGAGAUAGCUGCGUGAUUGGGAUAGACUAUUGCAAUUAUUAGUCUUCAACGAGGAAUUCCUAGUAAACGCAAGUCAUCAGCUUGCAUUGAUUACGUCCCUGCCCUUUGUACACACCGCCCGUCGCUCCUACCGAUUGGAUGUAUCAGUGAGCUGUCGGGAUCUUUGAUUGAAAGGCUCACGUCUGGAUAUCUGGAGAACUUCUGCAAACUAAUCAUUAUAAAG